GGGAUCCACUUCUAGCUCUCCUCCGCCUUCCCCUUCGCUUCCCCCACCACCCCAUCAUCGUUUUUUCGCCUUCUCCGGUUCGGUCGGUAUCUGGGUUUUUGAUUGUGCACCAGAUGUCUGUUGGCUCCAGCAAGAAGCACCAUUUCUUUGUUUGGAGCGCAUUCCUUUUCAUGAACCGCAGAAGGUUGUGGUGCUCAGGGAAGAUACUGUUUCGGCAUUGGACUUGACAGCAGUUGAGAUUUUUUUUGUUUUAGGGGUCGGUUGGAGGCUCUGGUGUGUUGUGCAGAUAGCUCGUUUAGUCUAGAUUUCGUCAGGCGCACCCCUUUUGGGCUGCUUUGAAUUUAGUUCCUUUUUUUUUUUUGGGAUCAUUUGAUGGCAAGGCUUCCGCCUGGGUUUCGUUUUCACCCUACUGAUGUUGAGCUGAUUAUGUACUAUCUCAAACGUAAGAUCACAGGAAAAAAACUUCAUUUUGAAGGCAUAACGGAACUCAACAUCUACAAGUUCUCCCCAUGGGACCUUCCAGACAAAUGUUGCUAUAAAAGUAAAGAUCUAGAGUGGUACUUCUUUUGCCCAAGGGAGAGAAAGUAUGCAAGUGGAGCCAGAAUGAAUCGCGCUACUGAUACUGGAUACUGGAAAACUACUGGGAAAGAUAGACCUGUUACUUACUGUGAGAAGAUUGUUGGAUCAGUUAAAACACUUGUUUUUCACCUAGGUCAUCCCCCGCGAGGGAAAAGAACUGAUUGGGUAAUUCAUGAAUAUAAGUUUGAAGAUAAAGAAUCAAUUGAUGCAGGAUUUGCUCAGGAUUCAUAUGUGCUUUGUAAAGUAUUCCAGAAGAGUGGGCCAGGUCCAAAAAAUGGUGCACAGUACGGAGCACCUUUUAAGGAGGAAGAUUGGGAAGAUGACAAGAUUCCUGCUGAGCCUUGUACUUCAGAUGUUUUUCCAGCUCCACCUGGUAGGACUGAUAAACCCAGCGGCUCAAAUGCAAUCAGAAUGGUUGACCCAAGAAGCACAUCUGACUGGACUUCAAGUGAACAGAGUCCAUCUCCUAUUCAACCUUCUGUUCAAAAACUGCCUUUGGAUGAGCCAGAUGACGAGGAGUUACCUGGUGAACCAAAUCUGUCCAAUGUAUCUUCUAUCAAUUGGAGGCCUUCAGAUCAGCUAAAAGCGAAACCGUCUAAUACUUUUUCUGCUCUGCCUAUACUACCUGAGGAGCAGAGUUGUUCAGUAGAUACCGGCCUGGUCAACCCUGGUCCAGGUCCAUCCAAUGCUCAGAUGUGUACUAAUGAGAUGGCUCUUGAUGAUAUAGACGACGAGAUGAUUGGUCUAUUUGCCCCAUUCACGGAAGAUACUUCAUUGCUUUCUGGUGGCAGUGAGCCUAAUCAGAAGCUAGAUAACUUUCACCAAGAAGUAAAUGCUCCACCUGCUGCUUGUACUGAUGGGAAUGAUAUAUUUGACGGCCUUGGAGACAUCGAAUUCUGGGCAGGAGUAGGGCAGCUGGAACCCGAUCUCACUGCAAGUGGUGGAGCUAAUCAUAGUCUUAACCCUGUGAUCCUGCCACAAGAAGCACCACAAGACGCUGCCUAUAUGGAGCUCAAUGAUCUUGAUAUCCCUUUAAAU
rnacentral:misc_RNA from 1 species